UAGUUAUUGUGGGGAAAUAGAC
rnacentral:siRNA from 1 species